rnacentral:lncRNA from 1 species
AUAAAUCCUAAGGGGGUACUAGGCUAAAAUUCAAAUAGACAAAAGAGACUUGAAAGAAACUGCGAGAGUUAAAUUUACAAAAUAUUUCAUUCACUUCAACAACUCCAUAGUAACUAUUUUCUCUUCUCCUUUCUUUUUUUUUUCUUUUUCAGAAGAAGUAUGUAUUGACAUGUAUACAUCCUUCUAUUUUUUUUCAUUCAUUUUUUU